UGGGCGCAAGCCUGAUGCAGCCAUGCCGCGUGUAUGAAGAAGGCCUUCGGGUUGUAAAGUACUUUCAGCAGUGAGGAAGGUGGAUAUGUUAAUAGCAUAUUCAUUUGACGUUUAGCUGCAGAAGAAGCACCGGCUAACUCCGUGCCAGCAGCCGCGGUAAUACGGAGGGUGCGAGCGUUUAAUCGGAAUUACUGGGCGUAAAGCGCAUGCAGGUGGUUUGUUAAGUCAGAUGUGAAAGCCCGGGGCUCAACCUCGGAAUUGCAUUUGAAACUGGCAAACUAGAGUACUGUAGAGGGGGUAGAAUUUCAGGUGUAGCGGUGAAAUGCGUAGAGAUCUGAAGGAAUACCGGUGGCGAAGGCGGCCCCCUGGACAGAUACUGACACUCAGAUGCGAAAGCGUGGGGAGCAAACAGGAUUAGAUACCCUGGUAG
rnacentral:rRNA from 1 species